rnacentral:tRNA from 1 species
GGAGAGGUGACUGAGUGGUCGAAGGUGCGCGACUGGAAAUCGCGUGUACGUUUACGCGUACCGUGGGUUCGAAUCCCACCCUCUCCGCCA